UUCACCUCUAUGAGAACAGUGUAUACUGGGCUCAGUUCACAGAGGUUCUCUUUAUUCCUUCUUUUUCUCUUCACCUCUAUGGGAACAGUGUAUACUGGGCUCAGUUCACAGAGGUUCUCUUUAUUCCUUCUUUUUCUCUUCACCUCUAUGGGAACAGUGUAUACUGGGCUCAGUUCACAGAGGUUCUCUUUAUUUCUUUCGGAGCUACCUGCUUCGCUUUAAUCACUCCACCUCGUUGGUCGUGUCACCACGAGGCUGUCUUUCUUUUUUUCUCUCUCUCACUUUCGUCACACAAAAAAAAAAAAAAAAACUUUCUAUCGUUUCUAGCGACCAGAGGGGGAAACCUUUUCCCUUCUAACUUCGCUUACCUUUUUUAUGUAGCCUUUAUUGGUUGGUUCUCACAGUUUACAAAUCAUUAAUCCUGCUAUAAUUAUUAUUAUUAUUUUCUUUCACUUCGUUUACUUUGCUCGCGCUCCGCUUGCCGCGAGUCAUUUAGUUCUUUCCAGCGCUGACGUCAUCGGCUCGUCCCCGGUGGCGCAGUGUGUAGGCCGGGGUCUCUGUGCCUCAGAGCCCAUUCUCGCGGGUGUUCAAACCCCGCUCUCGGCGAUUUUUAUUUUUAACUUUUUUCAAACCUUAUACUGUCGCUUUGUGUCUUCAUUUCUUUCAUUUCGCCACAGUAAAACAGUUCUUUCUACUCUUACACUUUAGUUUGUUUAAUUAUUCGGUGUUCUAUACCCUGCCCCCUGUGUUAAAGCACCUACAGUCACUAAUCACUCAUAGCCCUCUAGAGUGUUGUGGUCUACUCAUUGGCCCUUCACACAAACGGUCUGGGUUCAAAUCCAGCUCAAUGCAAUUCUCCCAUAUUUGCUUUUGAGUUCAUCCUGGUGCUAUAUUUCACCAGGUUAAAUACAAUCUGAGACAGCUAUCUGGAUCUUACCUUUAGGGUAGCUGUCUCAUUACA